AUUGAACGCUGGCGGCAGGCCUAACACAUGCAAGUCGAACGAGUGGCGGACGGGUGAGUAAUGUCUGGGAAACUGCCCGCUGGAGGGGGAUAACUACUGGAAACGGUAGCUAAUACCGCAUACCAUCGGAUGUGCCCAGAUGGGAUUAGCUAGUAGGUGGGGUACCGGCUCACCAAGGGUACGAUCCCUAGCUGGUCUGAGAGGAUGACCAGCCACACGUGGACUGAGACACGGUCCAGACGCCUACGGGAGGAAGCAGUGGGGAAUAUUGGACAAUGGGCGCAAGCCUGAUUCAGCCAUGCCGCGGGUAUGAUGAAGGCCUUCGGGUUGUAAAGUACUUUCAGCGGGGAGGCGUUACUCGCAGAAGAAGCACCGGCUAACUCCGUGCCAGCAGCCGCGGUAAUUC
rnacentral:rRNA from 1 species